ACUGCUUUGCCAUAUUCUUUUAGGCUUACGUGUUUCUAUGUUUUCCUCUUUAUGAAAUGCGGGUACUCGUGUUUGCUCCUGGACUCCUGAUUCAGUAGAACGGAUCGCAUUCAUUAUGUUGUUAUUUAAACGUUCCACAGCUGCAUAAAUGUCUUUUGACAUUUGAGAGACAUUUGACAUUGAUAGGUUGAAGGCAAUUUAUAACUUUGUUGCGAACAAUUUGGUCGGUCUUCGAUAAUCGUUGAAUUGAAUUGUUGCUACAACAGAUGAGUGAUCUGAAAAGAGUUUUAGAGAAGAGCCGACUUGGGUAUAUCUUCGUAUAUAGAUGUCCUUGAUUAUAAAAUAGUUUAAUAGAUCAGGCACUUUACUCGUAUCGGUUGGCCAGUAUAUUGGUUCGUUUGUAUUGAGAUAAUUCAGUCUGUUUGAUUUGACGCUUUUAAAUAUACUCUUGCCACUUGUAAUGAUUCUGCUGCCCCAUUGGGUACGCUUAGCAUUGAACUCCCCUCUCACGAUGAAUUUAUUAUCGAAGCUAACGAAGAAAUUAUCAGAAUCUUCUUUGGAGAUAGUAUACUUGGAUGGACGGUAGACUGCUGACACAGUAAUUGGGCUAUGCGAUCUUUUAUCGCCACGUUCGUUGGUUGAAGAUAGUUCGUUUUGUAUAAUACGAUGGAAGUUUAUACUGAAUCACGGUGGAUUUGAUAAUAAUUGCAGUGCCAGCAUGAUCCCUGCUACUCGAAUGUUGUGUGUGACAUAUUUUAUACUCAUUUAUUGUCAAGUGUUCUUUUCUGCUAAUACGCGUUUCAGACAUCAGCAUUACCUUUAUUCCUUGAUUAUCUAAGAAGAAUUCCAGCUCGUUUUUAUACUCAACUGGACUGUUGCCGUUCCAAAGAGCUAUGCGUAAGGGUUCCAUUUUGGAACUUUUACUGAUUUCGUGCACUGUGCUGUAGGAUGAGAGUUUGCACAUUCAACGAAGCGAUAAUUAUAAUCGCAAUAUCUCUGGAGUACAGAUUCAUCGCAGUCAAUAUAAAGAUCGCACCGGUAGCUUUCAUCCUUUAACUUUCUUUAAACCCGACACCUACAUGUAUCAGUGUGCACCAGGAAUGACGACGUCAUAUUUCUUGAAAUAUCCAACGAAUUAUGUCAAACACAAAAUGCCAAUAGUUUUACCUCUCACUUAUGAAAGGAGGAUGCAGACACCAUACAUUCCAGAUUUAUCUCUGUCUGGGAUAUAUAAUAAAUCAAGUUGUAUUGCUUACAAACGAUAGCUUAUUAUACGUGUUAAUGCUGCUAUAAACUGCUGCAAGGUAUUACUCGAAAAAUAAUUUAAAAGUAAAUUAAAAAUUGUAUAAAAUUAAAAGAAAUGAGAUAUUUAGGUAAAUUAUUU